UUAGACUCCAGUACUCUCCGGACGGACCGACUCUAACCCCGCCAUCAUGUCUGAA
rnacentral:ribozyme from 1 species